CGGUAAUUCCAGCUCCAAUAGCGUAUAUUAAAGUUGUUGUGGUUAAAAAGCUCGUAGUUGAACCUUGGGCCUGGCUGGCCGGUCCGCCUCACCGCGUGUACUGGUCCGGCCGGGCCUUUCCCUCUGUGGAACCCCAUGCCCUUCACUGGGUGUGGCGGGGANNCAGGACUUUUACUUUGAAAAAAUUAGAGUGCUCCAGGCAGGCCUAUGCUCGAAUACGUUAGCAUGGAAUAAUAGAAUAGGACGUGUGGUUCUAUUUUGUUGGUUUCUAGGACCGCCGUAAUGAUUAAUAGGGACAGUCGGGGGCAUCAGUAUUCAAUUGUCAGAGGUGAAAUUCUUGGAUUUAUUGAAGACUAACUACUGCGAAAGCAUUUGCCAAGGAUGUUUUCAUUAAUCAGGAACGAAAGUUAGGGGAUCGAAGACGAUCAGAUACCGUCGUAGUCUUAACCAUAAACUAUGCCGACUAGGGAUCGGACGAUGUUAUUUUUUGACUCGUUCGGCACCUUACGAGAAAUCAAAGUGCUUGGGCUCCAGGGGGAGUAUGGUCGCAAGGCUGNAACUUAAAGAAAUUGACGGAAGGGCACCACCAGGGGUGGAGCCUGCGGCUUAAUUUGACUCAACACGGGGAAACUCACCAGGUCCAGACACAAUGAGGAUUGACAGAUUGAGAGCUCUUUCUUGAUUUUGUGGGUGGUGGUGCAUGGCCGUUCUUAGUUGGUGGAGUGAUUUGUCUGCUUAAUUGCGAUAACGAACGAGACCUUAACCUGCUAAAUAGCCCGUAUUGCUUUGGCAGUACGCUGGCUUCUUAGAGGGACUAUCGGCUCAAGCCGAUGGAAGUUUGAGGCAAUAACAGGUCUGUGAUGCCCUUAGAUGUUCUGGGCCGCACGCGCGCUACACUGACGGAGCCAGCGAGUACCUCCUUGGCCGGAAGGCCCGGGUAAUCUUGUUAAACUCCGUCGUGCUGGG
rnacentral:rRNA from 1 species